rnacentral:lncRNA from 1 species
CCUGGCCACGCCUGGAUAAGGCCAGAGGGCUGGCUGUGAGUAGGGGAGUGGAGUUUAUUCUUUAAUGAGUGCUCAGUUUAAAGCCUAUGGACUCAUAUUAGAUCUGUAAGGGAACCUGAUUUUUGUGUGGAAGUCAUGAAGACUGGCACCCGUGGAAAUACUGAUAGCUGUGAAUUAGGCAGCUGUGGCCUGUAUUGCAUGCCUGUUCUACUCUGGUGGGGACCUGCCAUCUUGGUUGGUUACCCCACCUGA